rnacentral:tRNA from 1 species
GAGGGUGUAGCUUAGUGGUAAAGCACCUGCUUAACACGAAGGAGGCUUGGUAUCAAUUCCCAGUACUGCUG